CUCUUGGAGAUCUCCAGAACCUUUGAGACAAGGAGGAGUGGCCUGCAUGAGGGAGGACACACAGCAGAAGAA
rnacentral:SRP_RNA from 13 species